rnacentral:rRNA from 1 species
GAUGAACGCUAGCGACAGGCUUAACACAUGCAAGUCGAGGGGCAGCAUAGAAGUAGCAAUACUUUGGUGGCGACCGGCGCACGGGUGAGUAACGCGUAUGCAACCUACCUAUCAGAGGGGAAUAACCCGGCGAAAGUCGGACUAAUACCGCAUAAAACAGGGGCACCGCAUGGUGAUAUUUGUUAAAGAAAUUCGCUGAUAGAUGGGCAUGCGUUCCAUUAGGUAGUUGGUGAGGUAACGGCUCACCAAGCCGACGAUGGAUAGGGGAACUGAGAGGUUGGUCCCCCGNACUGGUACUGAGACACGGACCAGACUCCUACGGGAGGCAGCAGUGAGGAAUAUUGGUCAAUGGGCGGAGCCUGAACCAGCCAAGUCGCGUGAAGGAAGAAGGAUCUAUGGUUCGUAAACUUCUUUUGCAGGGGAAUAAAGUGCAGGACGUGUCCUGUUUUGUAUGUACCCUGAGAAUAAGGAUCGGCUAACUCCGUGCCAGCAGCCG